CCUACGGGCGGCAGCAGUGAGGAAUAUUGGUCAAUGGACGAGAGUCUGAACCAGCCAAGCAGCGUGAAGGAUGACUGCCCUAUGGGUUGUAAACUUCUUUUAUAUGGGAAUAAAACAGGGUAUGCAUACCCUCUUGUAUGUACCAUAUGAAUAAGGAUCGGCUAAAGCCGUGCCAGCAGCCGCGGUAAUACGGAGGAUCCGAGCGUUAUCCGGAUUUGUUGGGUUUAAAGGGAGCGUAGGUGGAGUGUUAAGUCAGUUGUGAAAGGUUGCGGCUCAACCGUAAAAUUGCAGUUGAUACUGGCAGUCUUGAGUACAGUAGAGGUGGGUGGAAUUCGUGGUGUAGCGGUGAAAUGCUUAGAUAGCACGAAGAACUCCGAUUGCGAAGGCAGCUCACUGGACUGCAACUGACACUGAGGCUCGAAAGUGUGGGGAGCAAACAGGAUUAGAUACCCGUGUAGUC
rnacentral:rRNA from 1 species